GACGAACGCUGGCGGCGUGCUUAACACACGCAAGUCGAACGAUGAAGCCCAGCUUGCUGGGUGGAUUAGUGGCGAACGGGUGAGUAACACGUGAGUAACCUGCCCUUGACUCUGGGAUAAGCGUCGGAAACGACGUCUAAUACCGGAUACGAGCUUCCACCGCAUGGUGAGUUGCUGGAAAGAAUUUUGGUCAAGGAUGGACUCGCGGCCUAUCAGCUUGUUGGUGAGGUAACGGCUCACCAAGGCGACGACGGGUAGCCGGCCUGAGAGGGUGACCGGCCACACUGGGACUGAGACACGGCCCAGACUCCUACGGGAGGCAGCAGUGGGGAAUAUUGCACAAUGGGCGAAAGCCUGAUGCAGCAACGCCGCGUGAGGGACGACGGCCUUCGGGUUGUAAACCUCUUUUAGCAGGGAAGAAGCGAAAGUGACGGUACCUGCAGAAAAAGCACCGGCUAACUACGUGCCAGCAGCCGCGGUAAUACGUAGGGUGCAAGCGUUGUCCGGAAUUAUUGGGCGUAAAGAGCUCGUAGGCGGUUUGUCGCGUCUGCUGUGAAAUCCCGAGGCUCAACCUCGGGUCUGCAGUGGGUACGGGCAGACUAGAGUGCGGUAGGGGAGAUUGGAAUUCCUGGUGUAGCGGUGGAAUGCGCAGAUAUCAGGAGGAACACCGAUGGCGAAGGCAGAUCUCUGGGCCGCUACUGACGCUGAGGAGCGAAAGGGUGGGGAGCAAACAGGCUUAGAUACCCUGGUAAUCCACCCCGUAAACGUUGGGCGCUAGAUGUGGGGACCAUUCCACGGUUUCCGUGUCGUAGCUAACGCAUUAAGCGCCCCGCCUGGGGAGUACGGCCGCAAGGCUAAAACUCAAAGGAAUUGACGGGGGCCCGCACAAGCGGCGGAGCAUGCGGAUUAAUUCGAUGCAACGCGAAGAACCUUACCAAGGCUUGACAUAUACGAGAACGGGCCAGAAAUGGUCAACUCUUUGGACACUCGUAAACAGGUGGUGCAUGGUUGUCGUCAGCUCGUGUCGUGAGAUGUUGGGUUAAGUCCCGCAACGAGCGCAACCCUCGUUCUAUGUUGCCAGCACGUAAUGGUGGGAACUCAUGGGAUACUGCCGGGGUCAACUCGGAGGAAGGUGGGGACGACGUCAAAUCAUCAUGCCCCUUAUGUCUUGGGCUUCACGCAUGCUACAAUGGCCAGUACAAAGGGCUGCAAUACCGUAAGGUGGAGCGAAUCCCAAAAAGCUGGUCCCAGUUCGGAUUGAGGUCUGCAACUCGACCUCAUGAAGUCGGAGUCGCUAGUAAUCGCAGAUCAGCAACGCUGCGGUGAAUACGUUCCCGGGCCU
rnacentral:rRNA from 1 species